GGGUGUGAUCAUACUAGCGUUAAUGCACCACAUCCCAUCCAAACUCCGUAGUUAAUUUUUCUUGGGCUAGAGUAGUACUAGGAUGGGUGACCUCCUAGGAAGUCCUAGUGUUGCACCCU
rnacentral:rRNA from 1 species